UACGUAGGGGGCAAGCGUUGUCCGGAAUCAUUGGGCGUAAAGAGCGUGUAGGCGGCCCGAUAAGUCCGCUGUGAAAGUCCAGGGCUCAACCCUGGAAUGCCGGUGGAUACUGUCGGGCUCGAAUCCGGAAGAGGUGAGUGGAAUUCCUGGUGUAGCGGUGAAAUGCGUAGAUAUCUGGAGGAACACCGGUGGCGAAGGCGGCAUCCUGGACCAACACUGACACUGAGGAGCGAAAGCCAGGGGAGCAAACGGG
rnacentral:rRNA from 1 species